rnacentral:rRNA from 1 species
AGUGAACGCUGGCGGUAGGCCUAACACAUGCAAGUCGAACGGCAGCACAGUAAGAGCUUGCUCUUACGGGUGGCGAGUGGCGGACGGGUGAGGAGUACAUCGGAAUCUACUUUUUCGUGGGGGAUAACGUAGGGAAACUUACGCUAAUACCGCAUACGACCUACGGGUGAAAGCAGGGGAUCUUCGGACCUUGCGCGAUUGAAUGAGCCGAUGUCGGAUUAGCUAGUUGGCGGGGUAAAGGCCCACCAAGGCGACGAUCCGUAGCUGGUCUGAGAGGCUGAUCGGCCACACUGGAACUGAGACACGGUCCAGACUCCUACGGGAGGGAGCAGUGGGGAAUAGUGGACAAUGGGCGCAAGCCUGAUCCAGCCAUACCGCGUGGGUGAAGAAGGCCUUCGGGUUGUGAAGCCCUUUUGUUGGGAAAGAAAAGCAGCAGGUUGAUACCCCGCUGUUCUGACGGUACCCAAAGAAUAAGCACCGGCUAACUUCGUG